rnacentral:lncRNA from 1 species
GUUGAGGUUCUUAGAGCUCUGUCACUGUAUCCAGCAGAGCCUGAAUUACUAGAUAGUUAACACCCUCAGAAAGCCCUGUUUGUAUAUUAACUUUAGACAACCUUAUUAUUAAAAGUGUUGCUAUUGUUUAGGCAAAAUUUAAUUUUUGCAAAAUGGUUUAUAAUAAUUUAUUAGGCCCAUAGCAACGUUGAAGACUUGCUUCUGAAUAAAGUCUGUAGGGUUUAUAAAGGAAAUCAGUCACUUAGUGGCAGCUACAGACAAAGCUCACACUUUUUAAAAAUUAGUGAAAGUAAAAUGAUGAAAAUAAAUUGGAUUCCAUUGCUAUCUAAACUCUAUAUUCCAGUUUUCUACUUUUAGGUAACCAACACUGCUCAUGUUAGAAUUCUGAAUUUAUAAAGUCCCUUACAGAACAUUUUUCUCUGUACUAAAACACAGCUUGAGAAUCUGUUAUCUGAACUCUGGGUCUUUAGGUCUUUCUAGAGCCAAGUUUCAGGUCUAUGUACAGAUGAACAAUUCUGAAAUACACUCUACACACUGAGUAACCUUCAGUGACACCACAUUACCUACAGAAUAAAAUCCAAAUUCUGUCUUGCUCACCACAGGUUGGUUUCAGUCUUUCUUUUCAGCUUCAUCUCUUAUUGCUCUGCUUCAGGGACCCCAUCUGCUGUCCCCCAAAUGUACUGACUCAUUUCUUUUUCAGAGUCUUUGACUACACUCUCCCAUCUUUUCUUCACCUGUCUGAUUGCAGUCAAUCUUUCAAGACUCAGCUCAUUUCAAACCUCCUCAGGGGAGCCUUUCCUGACUUCCACUCUCCUAGCCGUCAUUGGCAAAGCCAUGUCCUCGUGCACAGUCAUGGGGCAUGGCCGAGGAUUAUGUAAGAAGAGCUGUUCCUAGUGCAGUUGGCGCCUGCAGGAGACCAUGAUGUGGCAUCUACAAAGCUCAUCGCAGAUCUCUGCUUCUAGCUGUCCUUCCACUCUAUCAACGAAUAUUUCUUUUACAAAGCUAGGAGGCUCAUCUGUUUACAUUUCUGGUCCUGUCACUGAAGCUUGGACUGAGAGACCUGGUGAGGAAUGUUUCCUCUGGAGUUUCGACAGGCACAACUAUUUGUCACUGCCUCAGAAGCUGCGUGGCUGCAGUGCGGAUAUCAGUGAUCCAAGAAGAUACAGGAAGAGGCUUGUGUGGGAGUCGCCUGGAGCCCUCCAUGGUAUGUUGGCUCUACGAGAGCUGGGCAUGUGGUGCCAGGGAGUGGGAGCAGCAAGGCCACCCGGCUCAGGCCUCUGCCCUGGAGGAAGGGUGGCAUAACCACCCCUGGACGACAGCCUGGAUGUGGUGAGGGGAGACGAUCCACGCCCUGCUCUCAAGCAUGGAGGUUGAGUGUUUCUAGGUCAGCAGCUCAGGACAGCAGGCAGGUCAGGCCUGGUAGAGGAAGUGCAUGUGAGGAGUCAAUGGGAAGUGAGUAAGAGAUGGCGGUGGUAAACUAGGAGGUGCUCCUACAAACAGAAUUGAAUUUUCCCUUUUAAAACAAGGAUGGCUGUAGCUGAGCCCUCCUCUCGUGUGUGUGUGUGUGUGUGUGUGUGUGUGUGUCCGUGUCCGUGUCCUCUUCUGUUCUCCGCCCCUACUGAGGAAAGGAGAUAGCUCUGGCUUCCAAAAGUAGCCUUGCAGGUGUAGGAGGACUGACUCUGCCUAGCCUUUACAUUUCCCAUGUAAAAUUUAACAGUGCUUUCACAGAGCUUCUCUAAAGAUCAAAGGGUACCCAAUUGAAUGGGAAUCUGUGGUCUGAGGAAUUUUUUUUUUUUUUUGUCUGUAGCUUCCCUUCCUCCCUCCCUGCAACCCUAAGUAGACAAAAUAUUGGGCCAAAGGGCCAAGGAAUCCUGUUAAGGGAGGAAUCUCGUGGUCUCAUUUCCAGCCAGGCACUUUUCUGUUCUUGUAACUUUCCAGUCAUAAUUUGGGGAUUACUGUUGAUAACUCUGACACCUGGUGGUCAUUUCAAAAACUGCACUCUGAAAGAAUUAAACGUUCACUUUUAUCAUUUUUAGUUGUUUAUCCACCUCCAAUUUCAGUGUCAAUAAUAUGCAUUUUAUAAAUUAGUGAUUAUUGUUAGUUGAAUUAUCUAUAAGUAAAAUUCUUACACAUGCAUUCAACAGAAUACAGUAGGAUAGAAAAUUUCUGAAAGGUAUACCACAAGCUAUACGUGGUGGUCCCUAGGGAGUGCAGCUAGGUGUGGGGAGGAAGGAGACUUAUUUUACUUUAUACCAGUUAGUGCCCUCUGAAAUGAUCUUAAACAGAAAUAAUGUAUAACUGUGAUAAUUAU